ACAUCCAGAGAAUUUAGCAGAGAUGCUUUAGUGCCUUCGGGAACUCUGAGACAGGUGCUGCAUGGCUGUCGUCAGCUCGUGUUGUGAAAUGUUGGGUUAAGUCCCGCAACGAGCGCAACCCUUAUCCUUUGUUGCCAGCACGUAAUGGUGGGAACUCAAAGGAGACUGCCGGUGAUAAACCGGAGGAAGGUGGGGAUGACGUCAAGUCAUCAUGGCCCUUACGAGUAGGGCUACACACGUGCUACAAUGGCGCAUACAAAGAGAAGCGACCUCGCGAGAGCAAGCGGACCUCAUAAAGUGCGUCGUAGUCCGGAUUGGAGUCUGCAACUCGAUUCCAUGAAGUCGGAAUCGCUAGUAAUCGUAAAUCAGAAUGUUACGGUGAAUACGUUCCCGGGCCUUGUACACACCGCCCGUCACACCAUGGGAGUGGGUUGCAAAAGAAGUAGAUAGCUUAACCUUCGGGAGGGCGUUUACCACUUUGUGAUUCAUGACUGGGGUGAAGUCGUAACAAGGUAAGCGUAGUGCU
rnacentral:rRNA from 1 species